ACUUCCAUUCAACUUUUUUGGCAUUUUUCUUUUCCCUCCUAUCAAUAUUAUACCCACUCCUCCGUCCAAAGCUUAGACAUCCGCUGUAGCCUGUAUCCUUGCCCUGUUCGUCGUUUCUUCACCGGCAGGAACGGUAUAGUACUAACAAACAUCUUGGGGAGAUAAAAUACAAAGCUUCUAAUCAGGUUUAACAAAGAAAAAUAAGACGUAGCACCUCACUGUUGAUUAUUCAUUUUUUUAUGAAUUAAUUUGUUGCUCAUGAGUAGAAAUAUGGAGGGGUAAUAUUUGUCAGUGGAUGCGAAUGUUAUAUCGGAGACGGCGUCAUUGAACAAAGAAGAAGAAGCAAUCCCUUGCAGAGUCAGGCAAACAUUGUUAACGAUGAUUGUGAGCUACUUGGUGUGAUGUCGAAGUUUGUGGUGCAGUUCAUGCGGUUUCGUUGGUAAAGUUGUGGCUAGCGGCCAGUUCAUGUGGUUUCUCCUGUCUCUCUCAUCAAGCUGAAGAAGAACCUGAAGAAGUCAAGAAUCACGGUUAUAUCGCAUCCUCUCAACUGAAGAAGUGAAGAUUCAUGGUUAACUCUCAUUCUCUCAUCCUGAUUUUGUUUCAAUGUUUUGUAUACUGUUAAUCUUGCAAUUGUUCUGCUCAUCUUUGUCAAGACUGAUGUGGUAAGCACAAAUUCCCUGGACACGGAUUGUCUAACUUUAAAGCGGGAAAGUUAGACUGACUUUCAAAAACAAUUGUCUGUCAGAUCCAUCUAAAGGAUUUUUGCUUUAUUCCAGCCUGGCUGUAGUGUGCAUUGUGGUCGAUGUUGACAAGGGGUCAACUCAUCAAUAAAUACAACCUGCUACCUUAAUCAAAGUUCACAGCCUGCUGUUACUUUUUGCAUGAAUUGAGGUCUACUUUGCUUAAAACUAUUGUUGUUUUUUCUGCUCCCAAUAUCAGUUUAUACUAAUCCUACUAUUUGUAAUAUAUUUUAUCUGUUACAUUGAAAAAUGUACAAAUAAAGUAAUACUAAUAUUGUGAUUGAGUUUGAUAGUGAAAGCUUUUGAGAUUGUAGUAAUUUCUUUGGCAUAUGAGAAGCAGCAGACAUGUCUUCCAAAAAUUGUAUGAAUGUGCAUGUUAAGCUACUGUAUAAAGAUAUAUGAAUACUAUUUUGACUUAGUGCUUCAUUGAAUAGUGCUUCAUUGAAUUUAAGAUUGAAGGCCUUGACUUAGUGCUU